rnacentral:rRNA from 1 species
UACGGGGGGAGCAAGCGUUGUUCGGAUUUACUGGGCGUAAAGGGCGCGUAGGCGGCCAGCACAAGUCAGUUGUGAAAUCUCCGAGCUUAACUCGGAAAGGUCAACUGAUACUGUGCGGCUAGAGUGCGGAAGGGGCAACUGGAAUUCUUGGUGUAGCGGUGAAAUGCGUAGAUAUCAAGAGGAACACCUGCGGCGAAGGCGGGUUGCUGGGCCGACACUGAGGCACGAAAGCUAGGGGAGCAAACAGG